rnacentral:rRNA from 1 species
UGACGCCGCGUGUGGGAUGACGCCUUUCGGGGUGUUAAACCACUUUUCGUUGGGGACGAGAACGGACGGUACCCGAGGAAUAGGCCUCCGGCUAACUACGUGC